rnacentral:rRNA from 1 species
AGUUGUGUAUGUAUACAUUCGUGUAUUUUGUUAUUCAACUACCCUCCUUCUAAAUUCGAUAUAUGAGUAUUAAUUUACUUGUAUAUGGUUUUAGACGUUUACUGUGAGAAAAUUAGAGUGUUCAAAGCAGGCAUUUGCUUGAAUAUAUUAGCAUGGAAUAAUCAUGUAUGAUUUUCAUGAUGUAUUUGAUUGGUUUGGUUCAUGAGAAUAAGAUUAAAAGGGACAGUUGGGGGUAUUCAUAUUCAAUAGUCAGAGGUGAAAUUCUCGGAUUUAUGGAAGAUGAACAAGUGCGAAAGCAUUUACCAAGGAUGUUUUCAUUAAUCAAGAACGAAAGUUAGGGGAUCGAAGAGGAUUAGAUACCCUCGUAGUCUUAACUAUAAACGAUACCGACUAGAGGUUAGUGAAGGUCAUUGUGUCUUGACUAGUAUCUUAUGAGA